UAAGCCCUCGCGGCGGACGAGCCGCGCGGGCCGCCUUGAAUUACAAUUUCCACCCGGGCGGCGGACUGAAUCCUUUGCAGACGACUUAAAUACGCGACGGGGUAUUGUAAGUGGCAGAGUGGCCUUGCUGCCACGAUCCACUGAGAUUCAGCCCUUCGUCGCUCCGAUUCGU
rnacentral:ncRNA from 1 species